UGGUUAUUAGCAGCGGAAGAAUUAGCAGCGGAGCAAAUCCGCCGCUACUAAUAGGACUAAUAUCGGCGGACUUCUGCUAUUAAAUGUUAUUUAUUUUUUUUUUUGUAUAAAAAUGUAUUAGCGGCGGACCCAUGUACUAUUAGCGGCGGGGGUCCGCCGCUAAUACUAAAAUAAAAAAAGUGCGGGAAAUUUCUCACUCAAAUAUUUUCAAAAUUUUUUAGCAGCGGACUUUUUUUGUUAUUAGCGGCGGAAACCCGCCCCUAAUAAUAAGAAAUCUGACAAUUUUAUUAUUAGCGGCGGAAUCCUAUUAUUACCAGCGGAAUAGUCCGCCGCUAAUAAUAUCGUAUAAAAAAAUGCUAUCAGAUUCAUUUUCCUUCAUUUUCCUUUCCUUCAUUUUUCUUUCUCUUCUCUCUCAAAAAUUUCUCCUCUACACCCACCUUCCUCAGCCCUUCCCCGCCUCCCUCCGCCCACCUUAAACCCCUCUGCCCAGAGCAACACCACCACCCUUAACGAUCUACCACCAGUGCAAGUUUUUUUAACAGUCUCUACUAUCUCAACCACUAUUGGCCGAAACCAAAAGUGCACAACCGAUGCAUAUUUUUAGUAGGUCAGUUUUUUCAUCUCUUUUUUUCCUUACAACUUAUAAUUUUUUGUUAAUAAAAUAGUUAUAUAUUUGAUUAUUUUUAGUGUGAACGUUUAAAAUAUAUAUGGUUUGGUUAAGUGUGUAUAUAUAUAUAUGUACGACUGAAAAAUCUGAAAAAAAUUAGUAUUUUUCUAUAUUAAAUUUAUAGUAUAUAUGUAUGCAUUCAUUUAUAUGAUUAUAUAGAUGUAAUAUACAAUAAUAAUCUCAAUGCUUUAUGUAUUUAUUAUUUAAUUAUAAUCUUGUGUUUUUUCAAAUUUGGGAGAAUUUUUUUUUUUUUGGAAUAUUUUACAGCUUAUUGGAUCAAUAUUAUUCACAAAUUUAUAUUUGUGAAAGGUAUGUUUUUAACAAUAUAAGAUUUUCUUUGGCUUGUUAAAAUUAUUUUAUGACUAUUCUAUUAGGUUUAAAUAAUCAUUUAUUAUAUAGUUUUAUUUCAUUUAAGUAUUUAAUAAUAAUGGCGAGUUUAUUGACUUGUUAACAGGAGUAAUAUUUUUAUCUACGCCAAUACACCUAGAGUUUUGAGAUUAGUUUGGGGACCUCGAUCUUCUCUGUCGGCCACAACAAUCACAAUUAACCUUAUAUUUUUUUUUUUGGAGUGAUUAUAAACGAGACUAGUGAUUAACUUUUGUAUUUUUGUUAUAUUAAGACAUUGUAAUUAUUUACUUAGAGAAUAUUGUAUUAACUAAUUUGUGUAAUAACUAUUAUCAUUCAAUAUUAAAAUUAAUUUUAAUUUAUGUUUAUGUUAA